CAGAAUUGAUUUGAUAAAAUUCUCAUCGUGUCUCCUAACUUAGGAGAAAUAUUGGGUCUGAUGAAUGGGUAAAAUUCCCAGGUGAAAAGAAUUUGGUCUGUAAGAUUUGGCAGCACCCUGAGGUUUGCCAUAUCUGAUGGCCUGGCUUUAGUGGCAGCACCUAGUGAAGGCCCAGGUGUCCUUCUGACAACCUUUACCGCCUACCAUUUUGUCCUUACUUAUGUUGAAUCACUACGCACAGGCUGUUGAAUUCAGCUGUCUGUGGAAAAAUUAUACCAACCACAUGGUUAGACAGAAGGAAUACAAUAUAUUGCUUAAUUUGUAUCCGAAAGCUAAGCAACAUGGAAAAAAACCAAGCCUGCUCAGUCACUUCCAUGAGGACAAAUGAAGACACUUCAAGAUAAUGAUUGAUACAUCUCCCAUGCCCCACCUCUCACCCAGGACAGGAUCAAAGUGUUGGGGGAGCCACAACCUGCUUCACCUAGAAAGAGGACAUUGACAUGGAUCUGCCAGCUUUCUAAGCCUUUCCCCAGAUUCAAGUCCAGUCACAUCAAGUUGCCUUGUUAAAGGGUCUGCCCACUCAAAAGGAGAAAGUGCAAAAGAUGCUCAGCAAGGGUACCAAACGCAGUCAGAUGACACUUCCUGACAGCAUCCAAGAGCAAGCCUCACCACUACAUCUGUCAAUGAAAAAGAAAACGAGGAGCUGCCAAUUUGUCUAUUUACAGGUGCCAAUAAAAUCCUGCACAGAACUUUAGUCAACAAGACUGUUUCAGAAGGGGUGGCCAACAGUGUGGCCUUUCACUGGCAAGGGCCACCUUUGUCAUCACUUAAGAAGUAAAACCUGCCAAGUUUUCUGUGGG